rnacentral:rRNA from 1 species
AUUGAACGCUGGCGGCAGGCCUAACACAUGCAAGUCGAGCGGAUGAAGGGAGCUUGCUCCUGGAUUCAGCGGCGGACGGGUGAGUAAUGCCUAGGAAUCUGCCUGGUAGUGGGGGAUAACGUCCGGAAACGGGCGCUAAUACCGCAUACGUCCUGAGGGAGAAAGUGGGGGAUCUUCGGACCUCACGCUAUCAGAUGAGCCUAGGUCGGAUUAGCUAGUUGGUGGGGUAAAGGCCUACCAAGGCGACGAUCCGUAACUGGUCUGAGAGGAUGAUCAGCCACACUGGAACUGAGACACGGUCCAGACUCCUACGGGAGGCAGCAGUGGGGAAUAUUGGACAAUGGGCGAAAGCCUGAUCCAGCCAUGCCGCGUGUGUGAAGAAGGUCUUCGGAUUGUAAAGCACUUUAAGUUGGGAGGAAGGGCAGUAAGUUAAUACCUUGCUGUUUUGACGGUACCAACAGAAUAAGCACCGGCUAACUUCGUG